GUAGCAGGAGAAACAUUAAGUUCUGGCCAAGCGCUCACGGUUCUGCAGAAUAAGGAUCAGAACUUCACAGAGGUAAACUGCGUCUGUUCUUUUUACCAUUACAGCAGUUCAUCGUGGCCCUGUGGUUCGCCUCCUUCACCAAAGCUCUGUCAGGGACCUACAUGAAGAGUGCCAUCACUCAGAGAGACACUUUGACCUGUCCAGCUCUCUCAUCGGACUCAUAGACGGCAGCUUGGAGAUGGGUAACCUGCUGUUCCUGGCUGUGGUCAGACAUUUUGGGGCGAAGCUGCACCGGCCCAGGCUCAUUGCUAUGGGCUGUUUCCUCAUGGCUGUAGGAUCCUUCCUCACAUGCCUGCCACACUUCUUCAUGGGACGGUAAAACAACUGAUUGAUAACUGGUUAAACGUGUGCUUGUAGAGAUACUCCAAUGCGGAGGAUAGUUUCACUUUAGAAAUAAAGAAAUGUACCCAGUUGUUGAUUAAUCUCAGUUAAUUUAGAACUAAAGUCUUGUGUAAUUGGUCAGCUGCUUGAUUAUGUUUUGGGGCCAUACAUGUUAAGAGAAGGGAUUGAGAGAUGCUAUAACUGUGACGUGGUGAAGUUGGACCCAGGUGCAGAGAAGAGACCAGAAGAUGAAGCAGUUGUUCCAACCAGUGUCUCCACCCCUCAAGGGCCCACUUAACUGCCAAGAGCUCCCGGUUGCCUACAUCGUAGUUGCCUUCCGCUGGCGAGAACCGCUUGGAGAGAAAGGCGCAUGGGUGCAGUUUCUUGUCCUCCUCGUUCCACUAUGAAAGGACCGCCCCAGCUCCGGUGUCCGAGGCGUCCACCUCUACUCCCUGUUCACCCACGACUGCGUGGCCAUGCACGCCUCCAACUCAAUCAUCAAGUUUGCGGACGACACUACAGUGGUAGGCUUGAUUACCAAAAACAACGAGACGGCCUACAGGGAGGAGGUGAGGGCCCUCGGAGUGUGGUGUCAGGAAAAUAACCUCACACUCAACGUCAACAAAAAAAAGGAGAUGAUUGUGGACUUCAGGAAACAGCAGUGGGAGCACCCCCCUAUCCACAUCGGCGGGACAGCAGUGGAGAAGGUGUAAGCUUCAAGUUCCUCGGCGUACACAUCAUGGACAAACUGAAAUGGUCCACCCACUCAGACAGUGUGGUGAAGAAGGCGCAACAGUGCCUCUUCAACCUCUGGAAGCUGAAGAAAUGUGUCUUGUCAACUGAAACGCUCAAACUUUUACAGAUGCACAAUUGAGAGCAUCCUGUUGGGCUGUAUCACCUCCUGGUACGGCAACGGCACCACCCAAAACCGCAAGGCUCUCCAAAGGGUGGUGCGGUCUGUACAACACAUCACCGGGGGCAAACUACCUGCCCUCCAGGAAACCUACAGCACCCUAUGUAACAGGAUGGCCAAAAUGAUCAUCAAGGACAACAACCACCCAAGCCACUGCUUGUUCACCCCGCUACCGUCCAGAAUGCGAGGUCAGUACAGUAAAGCUGGGACCGAGACUGAAAAAUAGAUGAGAUCUCAAGGCCAUCAGACUGUUAAACAGCCAUUACUAACACAGAGAGGCUGCUGCCUACAUACAGACUUGAAAGCAUUGGCCACUUUAAUAAAUUGAUCACUUGUCACUUUAAUAAUGCCACAAUAUAUUGCAUCACUCAUCUCAUAUGUAUAUACUGUAUCUUGUCUAUGCCGCUCUGUCAUUGCUCAUCCAUAUAUUUAUCUUAUUCCAUUCCUUUACUUAGAUUUGUGUGUAUAAGGUAGUUGUUGGGGAAUUGUUAGAUUACAUGUUAGAUAUUGCUGCACUGUCGGAACUAGAAGCACAAGCAUUUCACUACACUUACAAUAACAUCUGCUAACCAUGUGUAUGUGACCAAUAACAUUUGAUUUGAUUUAUGACCUCGUGUCAAUUGAGAACAGUUGACUAAAUCAGUUAGUGGUUAACAAUUCUCUCCUCAGCUGUACCAGAGGUAGCUCACUUGAUUCAACUUGUCAAUUAACACCAAAAGAAUAUUAACAAUAUAAUAUGGCUGACCAGAAUAAAAAAAACUGUAUGGUUCUUCAAAAAGGCUUUUCAAAGAACUUUUCAGAUUGAGAAUGGUUCUAUUAUAAAACCUUUCUCCAUUAAGGUUUAAUAAAGAACCUUAAAAACGGGGUCUAUAUAGCCCCCAAAAGUGUUGUAACAAUAGCGCAACCCUUUUUUGGUGUUACAGUUGAAGUUGGAAGUUUACAUACACUUAGGUUGGAGUCAUUAAAACUCAUUUUUCAACCACUCCAUACAUUUCUUGUUAACGAACUAUAGUUUUGGCAAUUCAGUUAGAACAGCUAAUUUGUGUAUGACACAAGUAAUUUUUCCAACAAUUGUUUACAGACAGAUUACUUCACUUAUAAUUCACUGUAUCACAAUUCCAGUGGGUCAGAAGUUUACAUACAAUACUUUGACUGUAUCUUUAAACAGCUUGGAAAAUGCCAGAAAAUGAUGUCAUGGCUUUAGAAGCUUCUGAUAGGCUAAUUGACGUCAAUUGGAGGUGUACCUGUGGAUGUAUAUCAAGGCCUACCUUAAAACUCAGUGCCUCUUUGCUUGGCAUCAUGGGAAAAUCAAAAGAAAUCUGCCAAGACCUCCACAAGUCUGGUUCAUCCUUGUAAGCAAUUUCCAAACGCCUGAAGGUACCAUGUUCAUCUGUACAAACAAUAGUACGCGCUAAAAGGGACAGUCAAUAAGAUUCAAACCGAAAUGAAUGGAAUUAAAAAAGAGAACAUCGUUCUGAAAGAAGCCUUACUGGAGAUUCAAACUAGAUCCAUGAGAGAGAAUUUGGUACUUACAGGUAUCCAAGAAAAAGAAGGAGAAGUUCCUGAAUCUAUAGUUAGAGAGUUCCUCCGUACAGCGCUUCAGAUUCCAUGCGAAGUUGUCGACAAAAUCCAACUUGAACGUGUUCACCGCUUCGGACAGAGAGGGCAGAGGUACGAACGCCCAAUCGUUGCAAAAUUUGCUUCAUUUAAAGAUAAAAUAAUGGUUAAAAGCCUAGGUAAAAGACUUGCUGGGACCAAAAUUGGCAUGAAUGAUCAGUUUCCGAAAGAAAUUGCAGAACGGCGCAAAGUUCUGUAUCCAAUUUUCAAAGAAAACAGAUUAAAAGCUAAACGAGUAGCUCUCGUCGUUGAUAAACUAUAUAUUGAUAACCAGUUGUUCAGAGACACAAAGACUACUCCAUGGUUAUUUUAAAAUUUACAAAAUUCUCAUAGACGAGGAAAAUAAACACAAUUCAAGCCCGGUUACUGAUUGUAACAAUACAACAAAAAAUAUAGCUUUUUUAUAAAUCUUCACAUAUAACUAAUUGAACACACAAGCACUAUUUUUACACAGUGAAGAUAAAAACUAAGUAAACAGAAGGCACAGUAUGUGUGGAUGGUAUGGUUUGUGUUUAUUUUAUUUUUUAUCUUAUUUGUCAUGUUUGGAAAGUUGAGUGAGUGAGUAAUGAAAUGGUUGCAUAUCCCAGAGCCAAUGUAUUGCUGUGAGCCGGGUAUGAGAGGGCUUUCAAUGUUGUUCAGAUGAUGGAUAUACUUUUAUAAUGAAUUAUACGUCUUAUUUAUUUAUUGUCCUAUCAUGGAAAACUACAUUUUUUUUAUCUUAAUAAAUUAUAUCUAAUUAUUAUCCUAUUUUAAUGGUACUAUCUAUGGCCCUAUACCCUAGACACCCACCUGAAUGACCCAGAUAUUAAGGAGAAGUCCCUAACUGUUUUAUGUGCUCGCUGUAAGCGGUCUAUAUGCAGCUAAAAUGAGGUCAGAGACCAAGAGCAGCACUGCCCCCUCAAGAUUCUGAGCCUGCUUGGCAGGGUUGGUCCUGCAAAGCCAAAGCCCCCUAAAGGGAGAGGAAAAUAUACAAGGAAUUUCUCAAAGCUGCUAAUGAGAACCUUGACGACCUUGUACCUAGCCGGUGGGGAUUCCGGUGGGGUACCCCCACCCAGGCAGUGGCAGUGCUGGCAACACUAGCUGCAGUAACCCAUGGGGAGGGGGUCACACUCGGACAUUCAGAGAGGGGGUAUAUUAUUGUGGCCCUGGUGGCACAGAAUCAAGGUCGGACUGCAUGGAGAUGCGUGGGGACAUGGUCAUGACUGGUGGCCGUAUUGUGGGUGUUUCUUUCAGGAAUAGGGUGUACAUUUGACGGACAUUAUCUAGGAUAUGACAAUGGUAAAUAAAUUUCCAUUUUUGCUUAUUUUUUUGCGCGGUCUUGCAGGCCUUCUCAUGCAGCUGCAACUGCAAUGGCAUUUGGAAAUCAUGACCCAUCUUGAGUUGGGCUCUGGGAUGGUGCAACUAUUGAGAAAGUGAGCUUAUGGUUGUGUGGGGGUAAGGGCUGAGUGUGUAUGUGUGUAUCCCACAACUGUUGCGAAAGAAGUAAAAGAUGUAAGGUACAAUAGAGGAUGAUCCACAGCUAUAUAUAAUACAAAUCGAGGUGACGGCAAUGGAAAUGCAUAUGGCAAUUGAUUUACUUCAAUUCGGUAAAUGGAACUGUAUGCUCUUUUCAAAGAAUGGAUCCCAGUCGGUUCAGGGCUAUGGGAUACAGGGGGUCGAGGGUGGUCUGCCGGGCAUUGGGAUGACAAGCCAUCUCGAGAUGAGGCCUUUUAGCGGGUGGAAUAGUAGGGACCAAUUGGAGGUUUACUUAGUAGAAAUGCAAAUA